UACGAAGGGGGCUAGCGUUGCUCGGAAUUACUGGGCGUAAAGGGCGCGUAGGCGGACAGUUAAGUCAGAGGUGAAAGCCCAGGGCUCAACCCUGGAAUAGCCUUUGAUACUGGCUGUCUUGAGUGCGGGAGAGGUGUGUGGAACUCCGAGUGUAGAGGUGAAAUUCGUAGAUAUUCGGAAGAACACCAGUGGCGAAGGCGGCAUCCUGGACCGACACUGAGCGCUGACGGAGCGAAGCC
rnacentral:rRNA from 1 species